GUUGAAUCUCACAGAGCCACUGAAUAAGGUUGGCUCUUGUGGGAUGAUCCCCAAACGUGAUCUUAAAUCAUGAAUACCAAUGGUACAAAUGUCAUAAUCAUCUACAAUGACUUUUCCCUCCGUAGGCUCUACCAGACGAAACAAAACGCUGAUAAGAGUUGUCUUUCCACUUCCAGUCCGGCCAACAAUUCCAAUUUUGGAGCCUCCUUCAAUGAUGCAAUUUAUCCCACGAAGAACCAAAGGAGAGUUUGGCCUGUAUCUUACCUGCAUAAUGCUAUUCAAGGUCAUACUCAAGUUCCAAUUUUCCUAGAGUAACAUUUUGUUGUGUUUCUUUGUCAUGCUAACCUUUAAGUCGCAUAUUUCCACUUUACCAACAAGAGGCCAAUUGUGUGCAGGUCGGUUGUCUUCUAUUACUUGCGCAGAUUCACUGGGAAUAUGCAUGUAUUGUUCUACCCUUUCAACGGAAACAAUUGAAUUUCCUAUCAUGCACUGAAGUUGGACAGAAGUUACAAGGUAUACAUUUAACGAGAGACCAUAUGAUAGUGUCAUCCCAAUAAAACCUGUCAAAUGAUAGACAAACAUGUAUGAAUAUAUAGAUGGUUAUGAGAAGGAAUGUAUAUGUAUGCUUCAAAAUGAGAAGUUAGAUGGCGGCAAGACAAUCUCUACUAACCAGAGGAAGAAGCAUCAAUCCAAGUAAUGGCAAUGGCUGAGGCUGAGAGAACAAUAGCACACAGAAAUUCCAGACGUUCAGUUAACCACUCAUUUGUUGAGAAACUAUUGAAGUCAGCACUAGAAUUUGCAUCAACAAAAUCCAAGUUUAUUGAGUAGAGUCGUUUCUCCUGUCCAAAAGCUCUGAUUGUCAUGGCUCCAGCAAUAGAUUCAGAAAGUUGGCUUGCAAUUGCAGACUUAGUCGUGCCAUUCAUUCGCAUCAACUCUUUUGCUGAAGCAAAGUAGUAAUUCUGUUGAUACAAAAGAAAACUAAUUAAGAAGAAGAUAUAGUUUCGAAAAGGCAAAAAGUGUAAUGAAAUUAUUGAAAUGGUAACUAAAGUUGGUUUAGUGCAGUACCUGAAACAGAUAAGUAAGAUAUAUUGUAGGUGCAAUCAGAAACAUGAGUGGCCAAGCAAGAACAACCAAUACCAAAAAUAUGCUGUAAGCGCUAACAAUCGCCCCAGCAGCAAAUGCCAACUUUAAACCAACUUCGAGGUCGAUGAUAUUCAUAUCAGUAGAUACCUGAAAUAGCCAAUGAAAAUGUAAGGAAGUUGCAUUCUCUUGCAGUAAAGCCCCAAGAAGAUCAUUCAAGUUAUGUUUUAGAAACUCUCAAGUCUUACCCGACUAAGUAUCCUCCCCACAGGUGUUGAAUCAUAAAACAGCAUUGGUGCACGGAAAAGAGAGUUCAGUAGCGCAGAGAAAAUAGAUUCUGAAGCUCCAUAUCCUAAAUCGACUAUCAUAAAAGAUCGAAAAAGCAAAAAGAUCGACAUAAUACAGAAGAUCACAGAAUAAACUGUGAAUAGUUUGACUCUGGACACGCUAUAAUCCUGAAGAUUCAAAGCCAACCAAUAAUUCUGAAUUAAUUGCCCAACAAUGAACAUAAACAAGAAAAGAACUGAUAAAGAGAAGUGCAUAAAGCCAUUGCUAUGCUUCAAAUACUGAAUGUAUGGCUUGAACCCUGUGUCUCCUGUUUCUCUCUCUUCUUUCUUGAUCAAUUGAUCUCCUGAAGAUUCUUUUCUCUCUACCUCAGUUCUUUCUUUCUCAAUCUCCUUUGCAGCCAAUUUGUUUUUCCUAGUAGAAGCAUAUUCAACUUGCCUCUCAGAACCAGCAGUGUCAUUGUGUGCAUUAACAAGGUCUUGGAACUCUUGACAAGAAGCCAGUAACUCGUUGUAAGGAGCUGCUCUUGAAAUUUUGCCCGAAGACAUCAGCUGUGGACAAAAGAAAUAUGCAGAACAUAAACUGAUUGCUUCACAUAUGAGACUUACCUAGAAUAUCAAUGAAGGAAUAAAGAAAACUUAUUUUUAAACCCAAAUGGACCAUAAGUAAUCUAUCAAAAACAUAAAUAAGGAUGUAUGGUACAAAGAAAAGCUGAGAAAUCAAGAAGAGCUUAUACAUUACCAAUAUGGAAUUAAAUGCUGGAAGGAAGUCGACUUGGUGUGUAACAAGCAACACCGUCUUCUCUGCCAGAGCUCCCAUGACAUAUUCCUGGAUCGAAAACUUUCACAUCAGAUUUCAAAGCAGAUAAUUUCAAAUUGAAAGAAAUCAUAACUCAUAUUUUUGGUGAAUAAAGACAAUAAAAGACAUCAUAACUAGUUGAGAAGUAAUAGUUACAUUGAAAAGGCUUGUGGCAGUAUGGGCAUCAACAGCACUGAAAGGAUCAUCCAAUAAGUAGACUUCAGCAUUUUGAUACAAUGCUCGUGCAAGUUGAAUGCGCUGUUUCUGGCCACCACUUAAAUUGACCCCUCUUUCUCCUAUUUGAGUGAGAUCGCAGAAUGGAAGAAUCUCCAGGUCCUUUAUGAGAGAACACUGCUGAAGUAUUUCUCGAUAUCUUACAUGAUCCAUGGGAGACCCAAACAGAAUAUUAUCUUGUAUAGUUCCUGUUUGGAUCCAUGCAGAUUGAGAGACAUAUGCUAUUGUGCCAUAUACUUGAACCUGUACAUUUAGCUAGGCAAUCACAAGCUGUAGCAUGGAUUUAACCUUAUAAACUUUUAUUAUUAUUUUUGUUGCAAUGAAUACUUACAACACCAUUGAUUCGUGGAACCUCUCCAAGAAUUGCAGCUAAAAGGGUUGAUUUUCCUGAGCCAACCUCUCCACAAAUAGCAACUUUUUCUCCUGGUUUUACCACCAAAUUGAUGUCCCUCAAUGUGGCCUUUGUAGCACUAGUAUCCCAUGAAAUUUCAGGGGCUAUAAUGAAUAUGGAAUGCUCAAGCUCCUUGCCACCGCUCUCUUUCCUGGUAUGUCUGUUCUCCAACUCUGGUGCAUCAAGGAACUUAACAAUCCGAGAAAAUGAAACCUUGGCUUCAAUAAAUGCUCCAAAGACGUCAGGGAUUAGCCUAAUUGGCUCCUGAAGAAUACGCAAAGUUGCUAGAAAUGUGAAAACAUUACUAGGUGUGAGCGUAAAUCCGAGGAAGUAACAUGUCCAAAAGGUUACAGCUGCUGCCAAAAUAGGUGCUGUCCAGAAUAGUGCAUUACAAUACCCCUUUUGUGACAGUACUUUAGCUAUCCAGUUAAGCUCUUCUGCUCUAAAACCUUCUAUGACCUUCUUGAAAUUUGUCUCCCAAGAAUACAGCUUCAAGAUUUUCAUAUUUGAUAGUGCUUCUGUAAUGGCCCUCAACCUCUUGUUUUGUGCAGUCAUGAACUUUGUUUGAUACUCGUGCUGCAACUUCGCCAAUGGAGAGCUUACCACCACAGUCAAUAUGAGAACAGUUAAAGCUGCAAGAGUUGCAGCCCCAACAGCGAAGUAAAUAAUAAGUAAUGAGAGAAACAAUUGAAGGUUUGUGGACCAUAUCUGAUGAAACCAGAAUGGAAAUUCACCGAUUCUGUAAGCAUCCACUGUUACAUAGUUCACUAUAUCACCAGGAGAAUGAGUCAUCUUGGCAGCAUUUGAGAGUCUUAGUUGCUUCUGAUAAACUGCUGCAGAUAUCAGUGAUCUUACCUGGAGUCCAAUAAGUCUAGUCCUGAAGAACCAUUGCCUCUCCGACAGUGACUCCACGAUUUUCACAAAGAACAGACCAGCAGUCAGUGCAUAAACAUCAUAUCUAGAAGCUGCAUCGGCAUCGACAACCUUGAUGAAAGCUAUGAGAAACAGCGGGGAGACAGUCAUUGCGAGAAUCUUGAGGAGUGCAAAGAACCCUGAAACCAAAAUUGCUUUCCACUGGCAGAAAAAAAUUAUGGUCAGAACAGAAGGGUCACUACUGGAUGGAUGUCUUUCCUUUCUUUUCUGCAAUUGCACCUUAAAUACUGAGUGCAACGUUCUUGCUCGAUCAGCUUCUCGCAAUUGUGGAAUAUCUUCAUUCUCAAGAAUCUUUUCCUUACCUUUCUUCAUCAAAGGAUUCAACCACCAAAAUGUCAUUUUACUAAACAAUCCAGCCUUUGCAAAAUGAGUUACAUUGUCAUCUGAACUGAUUUCAUCACCUGUGAUAUCCUGUUCUGCACCAGGCAAAGGUGUGUAGCAUGCAUCACCAUCAUGGACUUCCAGAUCACCCUGUGCAUUAUUGCUUCCUUCAAAUGCACUAAAAAGCAACAGAACUGAUCCAGGGAAACAAAGAAUGUUCAAAACAAUCAGAACUGAUAAGGUCUCAUCCAUAAUAAAUUCCCAAACUGAUGAACCACAGAGAAGAAAUGCAAUCAAGAAACCAAAAAUUGAAAAGAAUUUCAUUAUUGCAUAAUGUGGAAGGUCUGGUUUCGAGAGGUUUAUGGUAAAACCCAGGCCCAACCAUGUAAACCCUUGAAAAAAAUAUACUAGCCAUCCAUGUAGAGGUAAAACCGUGUGAUAUGUAUCUACUUUCUCAAUGAUUAUCCAUAUCCCCAGUCCCAAGUAAGCCAAAGCCAAACCAGCAUUGAAAAUGACUGAGACAAUUGAUACUGUAGAGAAGGUGUAAGGUUGUGAUGGUGCUAUAAUCUUCUUUGACGCUAUUCUAUACAUAAGGAAACAUAACAAGAUGAAUAGGAGCAAAAUAUCAACUGCAAUGACCACAACAUUGUUGAUACAUGAAUUUGGAUUGAUAAUGGCUAGAAUGCCAGAACUGCAUUCAUUUCCGGACUCAUUUGAACACUCGGAACCAGUGCAGAAUAAGGUCCAGAAACCCUCCCCCAUGCUGUUCCCCAGUAAUCUGUAAAGUCUGCACAAUUACAAGCAAGAAGAAUUUAAAAGCAGAAAAGGAAAUGUAUGUUAUAUACACUGUUAAUUUUAAGCAGACUAACAAAAUUAAGACCACAUAUGAACAACAUAUAUGUACUUGAAAACAUAAUUGUAAAGGUGAGUGCAUACCUUUUCACAGAUUCGGAGAAAACUUCUCUGAUAGUCGGGUACAUAUGAAGUUAGCACCAAGUAAGGAAAAUGUACUAUUCAAGUUUGAAUGCUAUAAACCUAUACCCAUCAAAUGCAUAUAAUAUAACUCAAUAAAGAUGCAUUCAGACAUUGGGAAAACACAGAAAUCUCCCUCUAGGUCUAACAUGCAUUCAAAUAUAAAUGCUUACUUGUUUUUCUUUGGAGGUCUCUAGCUAGUUCAUGCAGUAACCUGCCUUUCAAACACACACACACACACACACACACACACACACACACAGAUUUUUCUGUCUUUAUCAAAAGCAAGAAUUCAUACCCUGCGAACUUGUCUCUCUCGUUAUAGUGCUUUUAAUGAGCGAUAUGCACAUUUAACCACCAAUUUUGAUCUUCUUUUUGCACAGUUAAUUCAAACAACCCACCUAUCCAUAACACAGCUACAGAUAUAACCAAUUUUCGAUCUAGUAGGUCUUUCUAAGGGAGAUAUAGUACUAAUUAAUAAAGGAAAAUUAUGACAUGUAGAAUGAGCUGACAAAUUACUUGUAUUGUCAACAGAAAAGGACAAAGCUAGACUGGUUAGCCUUUCUCUUAUUGUCAAUAGAAAAGGAAACACUCCCCCCUUUUUCAAAAAAAAAAAAAAAAAGGAAACACUUGGGAGUCUCUGUUCCCUGUUCUCUGUUCUUAGCAGCAGUACUUCUGAACAUGCAAGUCCAGUUAUCCUUGUAGGAUGUUUUGAUCUUUUUAGACCUCCCAAAGAAUCAUGUAUGGCAAUGAUCAUAGAUGCCUUUUUUUGUUUGUCCAGUUUACCUUAGGAAACAAGUACACACUAUAUAUUAUAUGCCUGCACUGGAAAAUUAGAUUCAAGAUGUCACAUAUGGUUAUGGGAGGGACCAUAUGCAAUUCAAAACUUAGGCGGGCACUUAAUAAUUUCUGCAAACUAGAAACAGAUCCAAGUAAAUUCGAUAUGGCAGAAAACAUAAACAUAUGUUUUAUGGCUACUAAAAAAACUACCAUUCAGUAGCUGAUGCAGCAGACUACAGAUGGACCAAAUCUCCCACGGGAUGAUAAAUUGAUAUUAUAUGCUUCAAUGUUUUAUCUUCCAUUUUUUUUUUGGUAAGCGUUGAAGGACUAAUUUAUUGUCCCUCACGAAAAUUUAUUUGAUAAAAAAAAGGUACAAGAAGCUGGCGGACUAGGCCAAUGCCAGCCAUAUAGUACAAAUAACCUCUUUUGUAAAUAAACAAGUAAUCACAUAAAAAAACAUCAAUAAACACAUGACAAAGACAUUAACAAAUACGAAAAUUCGGGAGACCAAGUGCAUCUCGCCGGCAAUGAUCAACGAUGGAAAGAAAGAGAAGGAACAUCCCACCAUGACAUGCCGGUCAAUGAUAUCCGACCAUGAUGCAGUAUCUACUACAAUGAAAAUCUGCUCUAGAUCUGCUACAAUUAGUGAAUGUAAAGGCAUCAAUAGAUAGACAUAGCUACUAGGCCAGUUGUGUGGUUCAGAACAUAAGUGAACUUCACUCCCCAAGGCCAAUAUCUUCUCUACCCAACAAAAAGUCAUAUGGGUACUAUUGAACAUACCAAACCUUCAUACAAGAUAACAUUACACGUGAUAUAAUAACAUGUAAAGCAUGCUAAAAUACUUACCAUAUCCAAUAACAAGCACCUUAGUGCAGUCCAUCUCCAUCUGUCUGUAUCUUACUGUCAUUUCAGUAGUCUGUUCCAGCGUCCGUUGAAUUGGUGGCCAGGUUGCAGCUGAAUGCUUACACUUGGUACAAGUAAGAAUCAGGUCUCACUCAGUACUACACUGAUUAGUAUUGAGUUUUACUGGUCCCAUUUUCAACUGGUGGUCGAUGCUCAAGUACUCUCACUAUUCACUAUAACAACGCUACAAAAUAUUGGUCCUAUAUUAAUUGCUACUUGAUCUUCAAUUUGUAUGUUUCGUGCAAUUAAUCACUUUUCCGACCAAUAAUUUAAUGUGUCUUAUAUUUGGGAAUAAUUGAAAAGCACAAAGAAGAGCCUGCUGCCAAGUGCCAACUUAGAGACAGCCAUUUCUGGACUUUACUUCAUUUGCAAGUCUUAGGAAAAAAUAAGUUAGGUACGCCCAACCCUUUCUGUGACCAAACAGAUUUUCAACUCCUGAAUAGGGGAUAAUUGCAUACCCCCAGCAAGGGUACGUACUUGCCACAAACUAAUUCUGAUAUUAUGAAUGUGAGGCAGAUAUGCUCUAGAAAACAUACAUAAUGCACCCCUUUUAUUACAAUGCUAAUGGAAGGAAGCAAAAAGGAAAACAGAUAUAGUGGCCACUAGUAACAGGUAUGAAAAUACACAAGGGAAAUGAAACAAGUCUAGCAGGCAGAGCUUUAUUUACUACGUGAUCGAAAGCACCCCAGUACCUUUCACUAUCAGCCUUCUGAGUGCAUGCUAGCAUUGGCAGAACGAGACCAGUAUUCCUUAACAAGCUGCCCGAAUAGUGAUCCCUCAUUGUUCAUCAGCUUCAUUGGCUCAUCAUACUCUACUACUUUGCCUGUCAGUGUAAAUUUAGAAAAUGAACACCUAACAUCAAAUCAAAUAAUAAAUAAACAAAAGAGUAUUCCGUUCAUGGUGGGCACUUACCAUCACUAAGAGCGAGAACCUUAGUGCAGUCCAUCACGGUGGGUAUCCUAUGUGCCACUGUUAUUACAGUGCAGUCUGCAAAUUCUGUUCUUAUAGUUUUUUGGAGAAAAGAGUCUGUUGCAUUGUCCAUUGAUGCUGUGGCUUCAUCAAGCACUAGAAUUCGGCUUUUCUUCAGUAAAGCACGCCCCAAGCAGAACAGUUGUCGUUGUCCCAUGCUCCAGUUUGUUCCGUCUUGCACAACUGCAUUACCAUCUUUUUAGAUGUGCUUUCAUUGACACCAAAAAGUGCUACUCGGUACAUAACUUCUUACCUAAAGAAUCCAGGCCCCCUUCUUCCUCUCCAAUGGCCUCCCGUAGCUGACAUUUCUCAAGAACCUUUUCACAAAUCAAUGAAAGAAAUGUAAGUUGCAGAAAGAAACUACUGAGUAUGAAAUGGAUUUACUUGGCUUGUUAAGGACUUGCAAAAGAAAAUACCAUAGCUAAACAUGGAAUUAACCAACCAAUACUAGAAUUGAUCAUAGACUCGUACUCGUUAACAAAAAAGAAGAAAAACAGACUAUUUGUUAUUAGACUGAAAUAAAUAAGCUUUACCUCCCAUAUUUCAUGAUCGGUAUGCUCUGCCAAGGGAUCGAGGUUGUAUCUCACAGACCCGCCAAACAAUGUCGGAUCUUGAGGGAUGAUCCCAAAACGUGAUCUUAAAUCAUAAAGGCCAAUUGUGCAUAUGUCAUAGCCAUCAACGAUGACCCUUCCCCCUGUAGGCUCUACCAGACGAAACAAAACACUGAUAAGAGUUGUCUUUCCACUUCCAGUCCGGCCAACAAUUCCAAUUUUG
rnacentral:lncRNA from 1 species